AUGAAUAGAUUUUGGUAGUAUCAUCAUUCAAUCUCCACCUUUUUUUGGUGGGAUCUAAUUUCAUAUUGCUUUCUUCUAACCAUUGACUUAAACUAUUUCUCACCAAGUGCUCCAUUAUUUAAUAAUCCAUUAUAAACAAGACACAGCUGUGCAUUGAACUGGAAAUUUCAUCAUAGUUUAAUUAAUACAUGAAACACAAUUUGAAAUUUAUGUGUUUAUGCACCAAAAGCAGACAGCCCACCAUUUUUUUUUCAAGUAGACAUAAUUUGUAAUUAAAAGGUUAGGUACCCCUCCAUAACAGGAUUCCCAACUUUUGGAACACUAAAUUUUCUCUUGUAUAAAUAUGGAACAAUGUUUUCCCAUACAUUAAACACAUCAAUGCUAUGCUCAAAAAAUGGCAUCCAAAUCCCUUCUCUCUCUACUAGCUUUCUCUCUCCUCAUUCCAUUCAUUAGUCUCCCCACUGCCACCACAAGGGCCAUAAACGUGAUGCAUGAAACGCGAGGCGUCACCUUAGCGGAUGACACAUUGCAGGUAGAUCGGAUGGUGGAGGGAAGAAUGGAUUUCGAGAUCAAUAGGGACUAUCCUGGAUCGGGAGCAAACAAUCGUCACACUCCAAAUCCCCCAGUUAAAGAAUAAAAUUUUAUGUUGUAUGUUGUGCUUCUUGCGUUGUACGUAGUGUAAUAUGUGUAGCACAUUUUAGUACCUAAAUCGAGUCGUACCUUUCCUUGUACUAAACCUAUCACAACACGUGUUUGCGUGUUGUUUUACCUUCUCUUUCUCUUAGGGUCGAGCAUUCAGAUGGUUUGAUCGGUCUCAAAUCGAAUCGAACUCGAUAUCAAGAGACUGAAUAAUGGGAGUUAUAUGACAUAUCAUAUAUAGGGCUUGUCUUUUUAUUAGUA